rnacentral:lncRNA from 1 species
AGCCUUGCAUGCCGGAGCCUGGAACAUGUGAGGAGCUAUUUUGGUCAGAAUCCUGGGACAUGGGGAACAGAAGCUGACACAGGAUAUGUUAAGCAAACAAACAAAUGUAUUAGAAGAAUCUAGAAUAGCUCAUAGUAAAGAAGAAAAAGUUGAAGAAUCUAAGUUCUUAAAAGAAAAAAACAAUCGAAGAUAGGCUAGGAAUUUAGCUUGGAGGAAUCGUGCAGAUUCCUCUGUUCCGAGGCAACUAGGGUGAAAUUAUUGGAUCCAUUUUGCUUCUGUGUCACUGCUCUGGACACUGGGAUUCCAGGUCAAGACUAUCUGACAGGUCAAGCUUCAGCCAGCUUCAUUAGCAGGAAGAGAUUCGGUGCUGUACUGGGGAGCUAGCUACACAGAAGUAGUCCUAAGCGUGGUCAACUCAACAUCUCCAGCUCAGCCUCUUCCAGUUCGCUAUCUUCCAAAUUCUGAAUCCGCUUGCUGGACAUCUCCUCACCAGGCUAGUAUAUGCGCUCGCGCUCUCUCUUUCUCCUCAGAAGCAAGCAGGGAUGUGUGUGUGUGUGUGUGUACAGCUUAAAAUGUUGGAGAAGGGAAGACAAGUAAAGGGGGUGACGUUGGCUACAAGCAUGGUGGAUACCAUGGGUCCCUGAGGAAAUAAACUGUUUGCGGUUUUCCCCCAGA